GGGGGUGUAGCUCAGCUGGGAGAGCACCUGCCUUGCAAGCAGGGGG
rnacentral:tRNA from 1 species